UACGUAGGGUGCAAGCGUUGUCCGGAAUUAUUGGGCGUAAAGAGCUCGUAGGCGGUUUGUCGCGUCUGCUGUGAAAACUGGAGGCUCAACCUCCAGCCUGCAGUGGGUACGGGCAAACUAGAGUGCGGUAGGGGAGAUUGGAAUUCCUGGUGUAGCGGUGAAAUGCGCAGAUAUCAGGAGGAACACCGAUGGCGAAGGCAGGUCUCUGGGCAUUAACUGACGCUGAGGAGCGAAAGCAUGGGGAGCGAACAGG
rnacentral:rRNA from 1 species